GUCUACAGCCAUACCACCCUGAACGCGCCCGAUCUCGUCUGAUCUCGGAAGCUAAGCAGGGUCGGGCCUGGUUAAUACUUGGAUGGGAGACAACACUGGCCAUUCUGAGCUGAGACC
ensembl:rRNA 5S_rRNA 5S ribosomal RNA